rfam:Bradyrhizobium sp. Leaf396 contig_7, whole genome shotgun sequence.
GUCAUGGGGAUUUGAGCGAUCUCCCCACGAGGCGACAGGCCCAAGCAUCGCGUCCCGUUCGUUUCUUGCGAGGACGCAUCAUG